AACAACAAAAUGAGCAAACAUGAUCAGGCAUUGCCUGGUGGUAGUUUGAAUGUAAUUGGUCCCACAGGUCCACAGGAAGCGGCUCUAAGUAUAGCCUUGUUGGAGGAGGUGUGGCCUUACUGGAGGAAGUGUGUCACUUUGGAGGCAGCUUUCAGAUCUCCUAGUGCUCAAGUUCCACCCAAUGUGGGAGAACCUACAGCUGCCUGAGGAAGACAAUCUCCUCCUGGCUGCCUUCAGGUAGAGAUGUAGAACUCUUGGAUUCUCCAGCACCAUGUCUGCCUGCCCGCCGCCACACUUCCUGCUAUGAUGAUAAUGGACUAACAAGCCUCUGAAACUCUAAGCAUUCAAACAGGCUCAAGAGAUUUCCACUGCAAACAAAGCACUGCGGAUCAGACACUCUGCUGACAGCAACGAAAAAGUGAAAUAAGUACAUUGAAAUCUAUGUAUAAACCUUGCUAUGGUUUGAAUAUUUGGAACAGGGAGAGCCACUACUUGGAGGUAUGGCCCUGUUGGAAUAAGUGUGUCACUGUGGGUGUGGCUUUAAGACCCUCUUCCGGCCUGGAAGCCAGUCU